rnacentral:rRNA from 1 species
AGCGAACGCUGGCGGCAGGCCUAACACAUGCAAGUCGAACGGAUCCUUCGGGAUUAGUGGCGGACGGGUGAGUAACACGUGGGAACGUGCCCUUUGGUUCGGAACAACUCAGGGAAACUUGAGCUAAUACCGGAUAAGCCUUUCGAGGGAAAGAUUUAUCGCCAUUGGAGCGGCCCGCGUAGGAUUAGCUAGUUGGUGGGGUAAAGGCCCACCAAGGCUACGAUCCUUAGCUGGUCUGAGAGGAUGAUCAGCCACAUUGGGACUGAGACACGGCCCAAACUCUACGGGAGGCAGCAGUGGGGAAUCUUGCGCAAUGGGCGAAAGCCUGACGCAGCCAUGCCGCGUGAAUGAUGAAGGUCUUAGGAUUGUAAAAUUCUUUCACCGGGGACGAUAAUGACGUACCCG